rnacentral:rRNA from 1 species
AUGUACCGCCGCCACGCCAAGCGCCGCCGCGAAGCCCCCGAUCAUGCCCUCCCGGCCUCCUCCAAGGCGCCCGUCAUGACCACCACCCACUCCGGCGGCGCCUCCUCCUCCUCCGCCGCCGCCGCCUUCUACGCGCCCCCGCCCCGCCGCCUCCACUUCUUCGUCCGCGCCACCGACUCCAAGACCAUCGCGAUACACGCGGCGGCCGACGACACCGUCGCCGCCGUGCUCGCCCACCUCGCCGACUGCGGCUACGGCCGCGACCUGCGCCUCCUCUACGCCGGCCGCCAGCUCCAGCCGGAGGCCACCGUCGCGUCGCUCGGCCUCGCGCCCGACUCCACCCUCCAGCUCGCCGCCCGCCUCCGCUCCACCCCGCACCCCAAGGCCUGGCAGCUCGCCUCGCACAUCGCCGCCACCGCCGCCUCCAGGGACGCCGGCACCGACUCCGCCCACACCCUCGACGACCUCGUCAAGGAGUACAUAGCCUGCUGCGACCCGGGCAGCCAGCACAACCGGAACGAUCGCAGGGCCAAGGGGGACACCGGCAGCACCGACCGCCACGCCGAGGACUACCUCGACAUCUUCCUCCAGUCCGGCGCCGCCAUCGCGCUGGUUCGCCUCUACCUCUCCGAUUUCUCCUUCUCGCGCUCCUACGCCGAGCGCGCCAUCAGAUGCUUCCUCAGCACCGACCCUGCCACCUUGCCGCCUAAUGUCAUGCUCGUCACGGCGCCUGUGCUGCUCGAGUUCUGCCGCCUGCUUGCUCUGACCGCGGGCAAUAAGGAUUCUCUCUACAAGUCAUGCCGCUACACACUUGCAUCGGUGCUCUGCUUGCCGCUCUCGGUGCUCGGUGCCUCCAAAUCGCCCACCAAGGUGAUCGAGCAGGUCCUCCCGUUUGCCAGAGAGAUUGUUGAACUGGUCCUGAAUGGACUUGGAUCAGAGACCAUGCUGGUGCCAAGGACAGACCUUGAAGAGCUCUCAAACUUCUUUAAAGUCCUGCGCCAGCAGGUACUCCUUUGGAUGCCUGACGGCUCAAUGCCAAAGAAUAUGUACAGCAGGGAGUGUAAGCGUACUGACACAUGGGUAUGGGAGUUGCACGAAAUGUCGAUGAACCUGCUCAAAAGGGUGGAUGAGUGUCUCAAGAGGUUGGAAAUGGAUCUUUCGUCUCUGUCAUCUGACACUAGGGGGGUCAUAGAAAAUCAACCUAUCUGGGUCACCCGGUUACAUAUCCUUGCCAUAUUGACAGAACUGGAUUUCAUCUCAGGGAUAUUCGAGGAUGUGGCACACAACCUGCGGUUCGUGUUGCUGGCACACAAAGCACCUCUCAAUGCGCUCGUGCGCUGUUCCAAGAGGAACGAGCAUCUCCACUGGCUCAUGAAGCAUAAGGAUCUGCUCUGCUUCGAAGCAAGAAGGAACUUGGUCUUAAUGUUGUUUUCUGAGGGGAAGGAUGACUAUGGGGAGCUGCAUGAGAUGUUGAUCGACCGGUCACGUUUACUGGAUGAGUCCUUCGAGUACAUCACACAGGCCAAACCCAGUGAGCUUCACAGUGGUCUGUUUAUGGAGUUUAAGAAUGAGGAGGCUACUGGCCCUGGUGUUCUGAGGGAGUGGUUCUGCAUGGUGUCUCAAGCUCUGUUCAGCCCACAGCAAGUACUCUUCUUGCCUUGUCCUAAUGAUCAACGGAGGUUCUACUUGAAUGGAACAUCUGUUGUUGAUCCACUGCACCUGAAAUACUUUGUUUUCUCAGGACGAGUAAUUGGAUUAGCAUUGAUGCAUAAAGUGCAAGUAGGGAUAGUUUUGGACCGCACCUUAUUUUUGUAUCUUGCCGGGAGAAGUAUUACAUUGGAAGACAUUUCUGCUGCAGACCCUUUCACGUAUGCAAGCUGUAAAAGAAUUCUAGAGAUGGGUGCUGCCGAGAUUGAUGAUUUAACUUUAACAUUUUCCCGAGAUGUUCAUACCUUAGGGUCUCGAAAGACUAUUGAGCUUUGCAAAGGAGGGCAGGAUAUCUCUGUGAACAUCAGUAACAGAGAGCACUACAUUGAUCUUCUUAUUAAGAAUAUCUUUGUCGACUCUAUUUCUGAGCAGCUGGCCAAUUUUGCAAAAGGAUUUGGUGACAUAUUAGCUAAUCCGAAACUCCGGGAGGUAUUUUUCGGGUGUUUGGAUCUAGAAGACUUUGACCGAAUGUUAGGGGGAAGCAACAAUACUAUAAAUCUGAAAGAUUGGAGAUCACAUACUCAAUAUAAUGGCUACAAAGAAAAAGAUCGCCAUGUUAACUGGUUCUGGAAGGCCGUCGAGAGCAUGACAGUUGAGCAACAGAGGCAGCUCCUCUUCUUCUGGACGUCAGUGAAAUAUUUGCCCUCAGAAGGCUUUGGUGGGCUGAGCUCAAAGCUGUACAUAUACAAGACAACGGAGUCAGCCGACCAUCUCCCGUCUUCGCACACAUGCUUCUACCGCCUCUGCCUCCCCCCAUACCCGUCCCUCAAGGUGAUGCAGAGCCAGCUGCAGAAGAUCACACAGGAGCAUGUGAGCUGCAGCUUCGGUACGUGGUAG